AUACUAAACAAGUUUUAAUCAAAUUUAGAGAAACCUCAAAGGAAUUCCAAAAAAAUAAUAAAAAAUCUUAAAGAAAUAUUAUAAUAAUUACAAACAUAUUUCAAAUACAUCUCAAUUCAAUCUUAAUUUAAUACUAGUUGAAAUCUUACUUCAUUCAAACUUAAGGCCAAAAACUAACUAAAUCUUAUAUCCUAAAUAAAUUCAAAUAAAAUCCUAAAUCCUAAACCAAAUCCUAACCAAAUCCUAAAUCCUAACCUUAAAUCAAAUCCUAACCAAAUCUUAACCCUAAAUCAAAUCCUAACCAAACCUUAAUCCUAAAUAAAAUCCUAACUAAACCUUAAUGCUAAAUCAAACCCUAAUCAAAUCCUAAAUCCUAAACCAAAUUCCAAUCCUAAAUCAAAUCCUAAUCAAAUCCUAAUCCUAAAUCAAAUCCUAACCAAACC
rnacentral:lncRNA from 1 species